UUUUUUUUCACUUUUUCUAUUUUGUUGCUGCAAUGCCUACACAGUACACGUUUUUCUGUCAAAGAAGACUGAAUAUUUUAACAUUGUAACACGAUAAUAGAUGCUUUUCAUGCCUCUUAAGGAAAAACAACCUAUUCCGAACGUUGUUGGCUUGUUUAAAUCACACUAACAGAACGAAAGCCGAAGAGUUAAUUCUAUUAAAAGUAGUCAUUUCUGUAUUGAUAUUACAUACACAAUAUUAGUUAUUAUUUAUUAGACGAAUAUGUAGACCAACCACCAUUAAUGACGUUUCAUACACGCAUACCUGCAUAAACCGGAACCUGGGAAUGUGCUGUAUACAUACAAGAGAACAGUCAAGGAAGGAGGAGGAGACUGGGUAACAGAUCACUAGGCAUCCUACUCUGUUUAAUCUCCUUUACUGGAUUGCAUAUAUAAAUAAAAUAUAUUUGUUUUAUAUAUAUAUAUUUAUAUAUUAAACAGAGUGGGCCCAAUUCUGCCCUCACACCUGUGCAAAAGCAAUUUUGGAGAACUAGGAUUGUGUGAGAGCAAAAGAAGGCAGAAUUUUACCCAGAACGAACACAUCUGGGCAGAUCUUGGGCAGAUGGGAAUUCCUUGAAGGGUUGGAGGGGCGGUUAUGUACUCCAGGUGGGAAGAUGGUUGUAUUUAUCCCGAGGGUUCCUUACAUGCAGCCAGACAUCAGGGUACUGACAAGUGCUAGAUGUCAAGUGCGGGUGGCAGAUUUGCAACUGGCACUGUUGUUCCAACCGCCACAUCCAGCCAUUCCUCACCUUCCCACCUGCCCCACUAAAACCCAUCCAGCCAGGAAAUUUGCCCAGUUUUCCUCCUGUUUGCCCAACUGGAGCCAUUUCAUGGCCUGGUGUCCCAGGGGAUGGCAUUCCUGCCACGUGGCAGCUAACGUGGCACUCUACUAGCAGGUAUUCGCUGGGGGCCCAGGGAAAGGAGCAGCUCUCCUCCUGCCCUGGUACCCACUGCUCCUUGAUGCUGAGGGGGAACUUGCCGGCCUGUGCCCUCCUUCAUGGCAUGUUUCAGAACAACCCACUCCACAUUUGGGGACCUGCUCUGCACUUUGCAUGGAAGAUAACAGAUUCACUGGCUUAUCACCUCCUCUAACUACUUCCUUCGUAUUCUUCAGAGCAAAAAGUACCACAGAUUGGCAAGGUCCUCCCCGAAAGGGUGAGAGGGACACCCUGUAAGCAGCAUCUUCCCUCCUAGGCAUCUGCUCAAGGGCCUUCCACCUUUGAGGGCUCACCUUUUGAAGGUCUCAAGAAAUGAAAGAUGAAAUUCUACUAUUCACAAUCCAAUUCAGAGUUGUCCAACGGUAGUGGGGUGCACAUGGCAGCAGGUCCCAGCUACUCUACACUGGACUACUAAAGGAAGAGACCUCUGGGCUACAUUUGCCCCCUCCCCAGAAAAGCCAGGAAAUAGCAGAAGGGAAUCUCUCACAGGCUGCAACCACCUACAACCACCAGCCAGUCAGCAGAGAUCUCAUCCACAAUGUCUUUACCUUCUUUUACCAAUCUGAAAAGAUUUGGUCAGAAUUUAUUCUGAACUACAGCUUGGUUGGACACCACCAAAGCAGACAAUGCUACCAAGAAGAAUGAGACAUACAGAGGUGUUGGUUUCACAACAGUGCUCAGAUGUUUCCAGACACCAGGAUCAUAACAGACAUCUGGUCCACAUGUGCUGCUACCAGUUCAUGGUUCAACAUGACAUCCAUGUUCCCCCUGCUGCCAAGAGCAAAAUACCUCGCUCUGGAGCUACAACAGUGUCUGCCAAACACACCCUCAGUGAGCAGAGAAGCCUUUGCACAUCCCACCUCCUCCUACGAACCCUGUCAGAACUUCCACUGACUCCACAGUGAGGUACACUGGUUCUCCACUCCCACCACACAGCAUACACUGCACAGAGCUGCUCUUAUUGCUUGACAACAUGGACGUUAGUAACCAGCAGAUAUGGAUCACAGGUCUGCUCUGGCAGAUUAAUUGGCCUAUCAUUAUGAUUGAUUGAGUGUACAAAAACAUACUGCGGUGUAAAGAUGACAUACUUUCGUACAAUCAAUAAGGAGAAAAAGUGCAUCUUAAAAUGUGGAGCCUUGCUCUUGAAACUCAGCAUCCUGUCUGGAGUUUUGUGAGAACUUUAAGGCAGAGUUUCCUUUAGCAGACCACAAUGCUGAAGACUUGGACAGCUUUCUCAGUGAGGUAUCCAAACAAAGCCCUGUAACUGAGGCUUUGUAGGUUCUUGAGGGUCCAUUUUCAGCUGGACAUAUGCAAUGGCUGUUAAGUAAAGGCACUCUAGUGUACAGCCUUAGGCAGUGUGUUAUUGGCAGUAGGAGUAAGUUUAGUACAUCACAGCAGAUCCUAUAGCAGGUUCCUAGAACAGAAAGGGACAGGAAAGAGAAAAACUGAGCAAACCACAAAACAAGCCUGAAGAUUCCACAGAGCCAGGUCCUUCCUCUUCUCACCUCCCCACCUAUUUUCCACACAUGUAGUGG
rnacentral:lncRNA from 1 species